rnacentral:rRNA from 1 species
GGGAACCUGCCCUGUGGUACGGAAUAACUCCGGGAAACUGGAGCUAAUACCGUAUGUGUCUUGAGGGACAAAGAUUUAUCGCCAUGGGAUGGGCCCGCGUAGGAUUAGCUUGUUGGUGGGGUAACGGCCUACCAAGGCAACGAUCCUUAGCUGGUCUGAGAGGAUGAUCAGCCACACUGGGACUGAGACACGGCCCAGACUCCUACGGGAGGCAGCAGUGGGGAAUAUUGGACAAUGGGCGCAAGCCUGAUCCAGCAAUGCCGCGUGAGUGAUGAAGGCCUUCGGGUUGUAAAGCUCUUUCGCACGCGACGAUGAUGACGGUAGCGUGAGAAGAAGCCCCGGCUAACUUCGUGCCAGCAGCCGCGGUAAUACGAAGGGGGCUAGCGUUGUUCGGAAUUACUGGGCGUAAAGGGCGCGUAGGCGGUACUUCAAGUCAGGCGUGAAAGCCCCGGGCUCAACCUGGGAACCGCGCUUGAGACUGGAGAACUAGAGUUCGGGAGAGGAUGGUGGAAUU